rnacentral:rRNA from 1 species
CCUACGGGAGACAGCAGUCGAGAAUCUUUCACAAUGGGGGAAACCCUGAUGGUGCGACGCCGCGUGGGGGAAUGAAGGUCUUCGGAUUGUAAACCCCUGUCAUGUGGGAGCAAAUUAAAAUGAUAGUACAACAAGAGGCAGAGACGGAGAACUCUGUGCCAGCAGCCGCGGUAAUACAGCGGUCUCAAGCGUUGUUCGGAAUCACUGGGGGUAAAGCGUGCGUAGGCUGUUUCGUAAGUUGUGUGUGAAAGGCGCGGGCUCAACCCGCGGACGGCACAUGAUACUGCGAGACUAGAGUGAUGGAGGGGGAAGCGGAAUUCUCGGUGUAGCAGUGAAAUGCGUAGAGAUCAGGAGGAACACUCGUGGCGAAGGCGGGUUCCUGGACAUUAACUGACGCUGAGGCACGAAGGCCAGGGGAGCGAAAUGGAUUAGAUACCCUAGUAGUC